GGGCAGGUGGCCGAGCGGUUAAGGCGCUGUGUUUAGGUCCUUCAAAAUACUUAAACCGCAGUCAGAAAUGGCGUGGGUUCGAAUCCCACCCUGCUCA